GUGAGGGCAUAUAGCCCUCGCUUUUCUGUACCGUAAGGUGGUACAGGAACAAGGACUGGGCAAGACCGGUGCCAGCCGCCGCGGUAAUACCGGCAGUCCAAGUGAUGGCCGAUAUUAUUGGGCCUAAAGCGUCCGUAGCUUGCUGUGUAAGUCCAUUGGGAAAUCGACCAGCUCAACUGGUCGGCGUCCGGUGGAAACUGCCCGGCUUGGGGCCGAAAGACUCAACGGGUACGUCCGGGGUAGGAGUGAAAUCCUGUAAUCCUGGACGGACCACCAAUGGGGAAACCACCUUGAGAAACCGGACCCGACGGUGAGGGACGAAAGCCAGGGUCUCGAACCGGAUUAAAUACCCGGGUAGUCCUGGCUGUAAACAAUGCUCGCUAGGUAUGUCACGCGCCAUGAGCCCGUGAUGUGCCCUAGGGAAGACAAUAAGCGAGCCGCCUGGGAAGUACGUCCGCAAGGAUGAAACUUAAGGGAAUUG
rnacentral:rRNA from 1 species